rnacentral:lncRNA from 1 species
CAUAUAUUGAAUGCCUCCCCCUUAAUUUUUGAAUUCUUAAGUACCGUAAAAGAUGAGACAACAAGAGAGAAUACAAACAUACAUUCCUCUUCCCCUUUUGACAUAAUAAAAAAGGAAGUGAUAGAUGGGUGAAAUAUAACAUAUUAUGCAUAUAAUAGUCAUUCACACAUAAACAAGAACAUUGAAGAAAAACAUCCAUGCAUACUUGUGCAAACAUUAAACCAUGUUUGAAGUUACAAACCACAAACUUCAUCAUGGACAACCAUAUGAAACAUGACGACAUGAGCCCAAUUGACCAGUAUUUCACGCUUAAUGGCAUACAAAAACAUUAUUUCCAUAUUUAUGAUGUGAGAAUAGUUUGAAGAUUUAGAAUAAAUCACACAUGCCAUGAAAUAAUGUAACACUCUAUCAUCAAUUGAAAUAUUUCCAACAAACUAAAGAAUCCUAGAGGGUUCAACACCAUCAACAUCAUUCUUUCUCUUGUUCUGAAUUUCCUCCUUAGAAACUCUAUUGAUCCCAUAGUAGAAUUCAGAUUUCUUAUAACUUUUCCAUGGAGAAUGAGAGUUGUGUUGAAGUUCAACACCAACAUAAGGAGCCUUCAAAAUAUGUUCUAGUUGUUAGACAAUUAAAUAUAUUUCAGUACCCUUAACAGAUUCCAAGAUAUUCUCUUCUCUUAUAUCAAAGUUGUUAUAUAAAUCUAUAAUCAAAUCAGGAUAGAACCUUCAAGAAUAAAUCCCCGUGUUCUAACCUUUGCAUAAUCAACUGAUUAGUAAAGUUAAAGACAUUAGAGGGAAAGGUUUCAAGCUUACCAAACUUAGAAGGAAUUUUUUCUUAGCAAUGUGUAGAAACUUUGCAUCUUAUUCCUGGGUUGUGAAGAACCUUGAGAAAUCCAAGACAUAUUCCUCUUUUUUGACGUUGAAGCUUUUCGUUUUCCUUUACUUUGAGCAUUCAUGGCAGAUUUUGAGAGAUGAAGGGGUUUUGAGUUGAUUUAAAAAUAUAUAUUAAGGAACACAUUCUUUAAAAAAAAGUAUAUAACAUUAUAUAAGUUAAGAUUCGAAGUGUGACACUGUUUCGCACAUAUAACAACAAUUGUUUUUAUUGGAUUAUAGUUAUAUAUUAUUUAAAAAAUAAUAUAUAACAGACACCUAAUAAACAUAUAUUAUUUCAGUUAGUUAAGUCUCUCAAAUAACAAAUUAUUACGGGAUGUGCUUUUUUAUAAUAGUCAAAGUUUUUGUGAGUUAGAAUAAGAGGAGAAGGAAAUGAUUCGUAGGAAG